CAGCUAACACCUGCACCCAGGCUCACAGGCCAAUAUAAUACUAGAUCCAGCACAGCUGAUCUUCGGACCAAGCUACCCCAGGGAUAACAGCGCUAUCCCCUUCAAGAGUCCAUAUCGCCAAGGGGGCUUACGACCUCGAUGUUGGAUCAGGACACCCCGGCGGUGUAGCCGCUGCCAAAGGCUCGUUUGUUCAACGAAUAACGUCCU
rnacentral:rRNA from 1 species